rnacentral:rRNA from 1 species
CUUGGUCAUUUAGAGGAAGUAAAAGUCGUAACAAGGUUUCCGUAGGUGAACCUGCGGAAGGAUCAUUAACAAAUCAUCAUGUGUGCCUGGGCGCAAGCCUGUGGCCUCCACAUUAACCCGAACCUGGCAGCGAUGCCGGGCGAGGUGUGCUUAUAUAGCACUUUUUGGUGCUUAUAGGCACGGCGAAGGUCUUUGGACCGGAGCCACAUAGACGCUUGUAUAUGUUUGACAGAGUUUAGUUGACACUUGAAAAAUGACAACUUUUAACAAUGGAUCUCUUGGCUCUUGCAACGAUGAAGAACGCAGUGAAAUGCGAAACGUAAUGCGAUUUGCACGAAUCUGUGAGUCAUCAAGUCUUUGAACGCACCUUGCACCGUAUGAGCAAUUGUACGGUAUACCUGUUUGAGAAUCGUAAAACACCCAUCAACACACUUGUGUGUUGGAAUUGUCGGCAUCCCCGAUUAAAUGCAUUAGGUUUGGAUCAGGCUAGUGGUCUGAGACAUCAUGUGCUAGAGAUACCUCGUGUGUCUUCUCAUGGUGCGUCUCAGGUCCAUACAAAAGCUGGCCUGCAAAGGACCUUUAACUGCGCUAAGGGCUCUCACACCCUUAGGCAACCCCCCCUCUUUGAUCUCAAAUCAGGUAAGGCUACCCGCUGAACUUAAGCAUAUCAAUAAGCGGAGGA